AGCCUUGAUGUGUAGGAUAGGUGGGAGGCUUUGAAGUGUGGACGCCAGUCUGCAUGGAGCCGACCUUGAAAUACCACCCUUUAAUGUUUGAUGUUCUAACGUGGACCCGUGAUCCGGGUUGCGGACAGUGUCUGGUGGGUAGUUUGACUGGGGCGGUCUCCUCCUAAAGAGUAACGGAGGAGCACGAAGGUUGGCUAAUCCUGGUCGGACAUCAGGAGGUUAGUGCAAUGGCAUAAGCCAGCUUGACUGCGAGCGUGACGGCGCGAGCAGGUGCGAAAGCAGGUCAUAGUGAUCCGGUGGUUCUGAAUGGAAGGGCCAUCGCUCAACGGAUAAAAGGUACUCCGGGGAUAACAGGCUGAUACCGCCCAAGAGUUCAUAUCGACGGCGGUGUUUGGCACCUCGAUGUCGGCUCAUCACAUCCUGGGGCUGAAGUAGGUCCCAAGGGUAUGGCUGUUCGCCAUUUAAAGUGGUACGCGAGCUGGGUUUAGAACGUCGUGAGACAGUUCGGUCCCUAUCUGCCGUGGGCGCUGGAGAACUGAGGGGGGCUGCUCCUAGUACGAGAGGACCGGAGUGGACGCAUCACUGGUGUUCGGGUUGUCAUGCCAAUGGCACUGCCCGGUAGCUAAAUGCGGAAGAGAUAAGUGCUGAAA
rnacentral:rRNA from 1 species